rnacentral:rRNA from 1 species
GAUGAACGCUGGCGGCGUGCCUAAUACAUGCAAGUCGAGCGAACAGACGAGGAGCUUGCUCCUCUGACGUUAUCGGCGGACGGGUGAGUAACACGUGGAUAACCUACCUAUAAGACUGGGAUAACUUCGGGAAACCGUAGCUAAUACCGGAUAAUAUAUUGAACCGCAUGGUUCAAUAGUGAAAGACGGUUUUGCUGUCACUUAUAGAUGGAUCCGCGCCGCAUUAGCUAGUUGGUAAGGUAACGGCUUACCAAGGCAACGAUGCGUAGCCGACCUGAGAGGGUGAUCGGCCACACGGGAACUGAGACACGGUCCAGACUCCUACGGGAGGCAGCAGUAGGGAAUCUUCCGCAAUGGGCGAAAGCCUGACGGAGCAACGCCGCGUGAGUGAUGAAGGUCUUCGGAUCGUAAAACUCUGUUAUUAGGGAAGAACAAAUGUGUAAGUAACUAUGCACGUCUUGACGGUACCUAAUCAGAAAGCCACGGCUAACUACGUG